rnacentral:lncRNA from 1 species
UUGGGCCAGAGAGGCACAGGCUGCGAUGAGCCACGACUGCGCCUCUACACUCUAUCUAGCCUGGGCAACAGAGUGAGACCCUGUGUCUUAAAAAAAAGAAAAAAAAGUUUUUUAUGGAGGCUCACAUUUGGCACAGCCUAAGUAAUUUUCCAAGAGUAAAGGUGUUUUUCUUUUUGUGAUGAUCUUAUCUUGGAUGCUAAGAAACGGGGUACAGGUACUUGAAUAUGUAUGUGUUGUCCAUAUUAAGAAACAGUAAUCUUGUGCUUCAAGCAAGUGUUCACUGUAAAAAUGGGAGGGUAGCCAAAUUCCAUGUUAUUAGGAAAGACAAUGGAUGAAAAUGUUACUUGUUUCUGAGGCGCAGACAACCAUUCCUGAUAAAAGGAAUAAAGGAAAAGCCCUGUGGGUAGAAGUGGCACUCCCACGGACUGAAAGCUGGAUCCACACUACAGGUUGUCCCAGCAUCAGCUAUUGAGGCUGAUAAGCAAAAGGGAGCUGCUAUGCAAUUUCAGGAUUGGUGCCGACAUCUUCACCUGUGCUCACACUGUCUGCUUCCACUCACUCAUAAUCCUGUUCUCUCUCUUGAAAGAAAGGCUAAUUAGGAUAAAUAUGCUAGUCUGCCUUACUUGGAUGGUGGAAGAACAGAGAGCAGUGUUAGAAUCACUGUUUCAUUACCAGCUGACAUCUGCAUGGUUCUUCUGGGUAAGGACCAGCAACAAGACUGUCUUGUGUGUGUCCUUUUUCUUCCUAGCUCCUCCCAUCUCUCUGAUUAACACCAAUCCAAUAAAAAUUUCUCAAAACUAUAUUAUGUUGGCAUAUUAUUGUUUGUUUAGAUUACAAUCUAUAUGGAAAUUGCAUCACCCCACUCUCUUAGGUCAUCAGAAAUGAGUAUUUUUGGCUAUUCCACAGAAUGUGUAUUCAUUAAAUAUCGUGAGUAGAAAUUAUUUAAAAAUUAAGCAUGUCUUAGGACCUAAACUUUAGUCCUUGCUUGAAUAUUCACAUUUGUGUAAUUCAUUUCCAAUCUUGCCUAAAAGUUACUUAAUAGCUCCUAAAUUCCUAAGAGUCCAUGUCAUUUUCUUUGGAAGCAUAAAUUUAGGCACCUGGACAUUUUGGAAUCAGAGACCCUUGGUCUCUAACCUUUGUGAUUUUUGGAAUAGUUACCCAGACUCUCUACUCACUUUCCUUAUUCAUCAAACUGGGAUAACACAGAACCUACUUCAUAUAGUUGUAUUAAGAAUAAAAUUAAAAACUGUAUGUAAAGUGUACAAUACCUGGUAAAUAAUAUCCAACUAUUAUUUAGAUAAGAGACUUACCUAAAAGUAUAAAUUCCCUAAAUAUUUACUGAGCAUAAGGUGGACUAGUUUCUUCCAACUAGAGGGUGACACUUCACUUCCUCUAAAGUAGAGAUAAAUCUAUCUUUGUCUUCUUUCUUCACAGGCCAUUAUUAUUUGCAUGUAAUAAGAAAAAUUACACUUUUAGCGUCUAUUAUACUUCAUAAAGGCAAAUAAUCGUUUCUGGAGAGGUGAUGUCUCUUUAUCAGUUUUCCAGUAACAGUUACUGUAAGUUAUUUCAACAUAAAAACUGUAUCUUUGAGAAUAUUUUUGAUCCAAGUAGUAGAGACUUUCAAUCUAGAUUUAAGCUGUUUUCAUAUAGCUGAUAAAACAUUUCUUUUCAUCUCUGUUAGACUAUUGGGAUAAAUGAACUAUGACUCUGAAACAGAAAGUCAUUUCUAUGUAUUCUAAUAAAUCAUUUUAAUUUAUAAUUAUGAUAUUCUUAUUAACAGGAUAUUCUGGGUUAUAUACUCUGCUUGUUUUCAACUUUAAAUCACUGAUUUAAAAGAACACAUUUUUAUCAAUGACUUAAAAAGCACUCAAGAUCAUCAUUAUGAACAUAUAUAUACUCCUCUGUUGCAGAGGAAAUAUCCUCACAACCAAAAUUUAUGUGUGAUCUAAAUUUUAAACGCACCCUAGACACCCUAAUAAAGUUAGGCAGGAGGAAAAAAAAAUGAGGCUACCAUCAAUAGGACAGGUAUAAAAGUCUGGAAACCAGCUCCUCAUAUAUGGGUUGUUAGUUAAAUCACAAGUCUUUACCAGAUAUUGUUAGCCUAGUUUCAAUGAUUUUUCUUUAAAAAUAUUCUAUUAUUUAAACUUAUCACCAAUUAAGCCUACUUUCACUCUCACCCAUCCCUACUCCUGUUCAAAUAAAGUAUUACUACCAGAGCCAUUUUUAAAGUGUUCAAACUAAAUGAUAUUAAAAGGAAGUUAAGAAA